UAGGGUCGGUAAGCUCCUUAAUGUGCG
rnacentral:piRNA from 1 species